rnacentral:lncRNA from 1 species
UAUGCAUUGCUUGAUGAAUGAUAUCCAAGGAUAGAAAUAUCUUUAUCAGAUUUGGCAUUAUUUUCAUAAGAACAUAUCAAGCAUAGUAUGUACGACUGAAAAAUAUGAGAGAUAUGCAAUAGUUCAUUUUCUAUUUUUCAGAAGAUCAAAAGAAGUUUUCAUCAAAAAUAGAUCUAAUAGAAGUCAUAUGUAUGACAAGCAGUGAUGAUAGCUUUUAAAAAAUCAUUUAAGUAGAUGACUAUCAUACUCAAUUGUCUUUUUCAUUUCUUCAAGAAUUCUAUUAAUCCUAUUUUCCUUAUGGUGUC